UACGAAGGGGGCUAGCGUUGCUCGGAAUCACUGGGCGUAAAGGGCGCGUAGGCGGCUUAUCAAGUCGGGGGUGAAAGCCCGUGGCUCAACCACGGAAUGGCCUUCGAUACUGGUAGGCUUGAGACCGGAAGAGGACAGCGGAACUGCGAGUGUAGAGGUGAAAUUCGUAGAUAUUCGCAAGAACACCAGUGGCGAAGGCGGCUCACUGGCCCGGUAUACUGACGCUGAGGCACGAAAGCGUGGGGAGCAAACAGG
rnacentral:rRNA from 1 species